UACGGAGGGCGCAAGCGUUGUUCGGAAUUACUGGGCGUAAAGCGCGUGUAGGCGGCCAGGUAAGUCGGAUGUGAAAACCCGGGGCCCAACCCCGGAACUGCACCCGCUACUGCCUGGCUGGAGUCCCGGAGAGGAUGGCGGAACUUCCGGUGUAGUGUGGAAAUUCGUAGAUAUCGGAAGGAACACCAGUGGCGAAGGCGGCCAUCUGGACGGUGUUUCACGCUGAGACGCGAAGGGGUGGGGAGUAAACAGC
rnacentral:rRNA from 1 species